rnacentral:tRNA from 1 species
GCCAGCAAAGAGUAGUGGUUGGAUGUUGGACUAUGACUCUGAAGACCAGGGUUCAAUUCUCUGGUUGGCC